rnacentral:rRNA from 1 species
UCAAAGGAAUUGACGGGGAGCACCACAACAGGUGGAGCCUGCGGUUUAAUCGGACUCAACGCCGGGAAACUCACCAGAUAAGACAGCUGAAUGAUAGUCGGGCUGAAGACUCUACUUGACUGGCUGAGAGGAGGUGCAUGGCCGUCGUCAGUUCGUACUGUGAAGCAUCCUGCUAAGUCAGGCAACGAGCGAGACCCACGCCAACAGUUGCCAGCUCGUCCUCCGGGAUGGUGGGGACACUGUUGGGACCGCCUCUGCUAAAGAGGAGGAAGGAAUGGGCAACGGUAGGUCAGCAUGCCCCGAAUUAUCUGGGCUACACGCGGGCUACAAUGGUUGGUACAAUGGGUAUCUACCCCGAAAGGGGACGGGAAUCUCCUAAAACCAAUCUUAGUUCGGAUUGAGGGCUGCAACUCGCCCUCAUGAAGCUGGAAUCCGUAGUAAUCGCGUUUCAACAGAACGCGGUGAAUACGUCCCUGCUCCUU